rnacentral:lncRNA from 1 species
GGCAGACUCCCCAGACACAGAGACAUUUUAGGGACAGUGGAGCGCGGUGGCCUUGGAGCAAAGCUGGCUCUUCUUACUCACAGUGUGAGCUCAGGUGAGUGAGCUUCUCUGAGCCUCAGUUUCCUCUUCUGGGAAAGGAAUUCCGAGGAGAGCGGAGGCCUCCCCUGGUCACGCACCUGUGAGCACUGGGUCUGUCACUGCGGCUUCCAAGCUCCGAGUGAGUCACUCUUCCUUCCUGCUGUAAUUUGGAGCAGGGUGGCAUGUCCCCAGAGGUGAGUUGUGCCCUGGGCACACCCCUCACCUCCGGUAGCUCACGGCCCCUGAUGCAAGACCGCACACACAGUCAGGAUGAAAUCAUGGAGCCCAGAGUUUGGCACGGAAGGAAAUGGAUCUGUCCCUGCCACCUCCUCCCUAUCCCAACCAGAAGAGGACCAGCUACGGUCACUAGUCAUAAUCACCCCUGGUGGGGAAGGUGACCUUGGAGGACAGCUAAUAAAGAAUAGUUCAUAGCCAGACUUGGUGGCACUGGCCUGUAAUUCCAGCAACUCAGGAGGCUGAAGCAGGAGGAUCACAAGUUUAAGGCUAGCUUCAGCCAUUUGGUGAGGCCCUAAGCAACUUAGUGAGACUCUGCCUCAAAAUAAAAAAGUACAAAAAGAAAUGGGGUGUAGUACCCACACGAGGUACCACCCAGCCCCUUUUAUUUAUUUAUUUUUUUUAAAUUUUAAGACAGGGUCUCACUAAAUGGCUGACGCUGGCCUCAAACUUUCGAUCCUUCCACCUCAGCCUCUUGAGCAGCUGGGAUUAUAGGUGUGCACCAUGUGGCCUAUCAUUUAUUUUCAGUUUCUCCCAAGAACAUUUGCACCCCAGGCUUUCAAAUCAGGCCCACCAGGCUCCUACUCCUGCCUUGUGAUCUUAGGUAGACGGCCCAGUCUCUCUAGCCUUGGUUUCCCCAUCUACAAAGUGGAGUUGCUAACGAGGGUGCAGCAUCAGUGCAAUUGUUCAUGCAAAGCACUUAGAAUGCCCAGUGCCGUGGUGCACACCUGCAAUCCCAGCAACUUGGGAGGCUGAGGUAGGAGGAUCACAAGAUCGAGGCCAGCCUCAACAACUUCGUGAAACUCUGUCUCAAAAUAAAAAUAAGAUGGGCCAAGUGUGUAGCGCUGUGGUAGAGCACCUCUGGGUUCCAUCCCCCGUGCAAAAGUAAGACCUAAAACACCAAACCCCCAAACACUUAGAAUGACGUACAGCACACAGGAGUGCUCCAGACACAGUGGACACGGCAGAUUCUUCCCCAGGGGGACCCCAAGACCUGUCAGUCCAGUCUCUGUCCCAGAGGUACGUGCCACCUUUCCUCCUGGAAGGAAGCUGUCUCCCCACACUCACGUCCUUCACACCCCACCAGGUCAGUGGCUUGAAGGUCACACAGAAUUUUAGGCUUGUCCAGCCUCAGUUUCCUCAUCUAUAAAAUGGGCUCCUAAAGUCUGUAUCACAGGGCUCAGGAGUGCAGCUCAGAGCACUUGCCUCACACGCAUGAGGCCCUGAGUCCCGCUCCCAGCACCACACACUAAAAUAACACCCCAAAUAACCAGGUCAUUGUUGGCCCCUUAAAUGGCCCAUUCCCACACAGAGCGCCCGGCUCACACCGCAGGGUCGGCUGCUGCUCUGGUUUCCCACCAUGACUGUCACCAGCAAUAGCUGUGCGCAGGUCCUCAGGGGUGUUUCCCAGAAUUUUAUUAUGAACAUUUCCAAACCUGUGGGGGCAGAUGAAAGGCUUUUGCUGGGCACCGUGGCGCACGCCUGUGAUCCCAGCAGCUCCGGAGGCUGAGACAGGAGGAUCGUUGGUUCAAAGACAGCCUCAGCAAAAGCGAGGCACUAAGCAGCUCAGUGAGCCCCUGUCUCUAAAUAAAAUACAAAAGAGGUCUGGGGAUGUGGCUCAGUGGUCGAGUGCCCAUGAGUUCAAUCCCCAGUACCAAAAAAAAAAAAAAGACUUUCACAAGGGACACACACUUACCUACCACCUGGAUUCUAUGAUUAACAUUGUACUAUUGUUGCUCUAUCACACAUCUACUAAUUCCUUUGAGUAUCCAACAAUUCAUCUUAUUUUGUUAGGAUGAAUUUCCAAAUCACAGAAUAUUUCUAUUAAGGUUUUUCAAGCAGGGUCAGGUACACUUUCCUGUAAUCCCAGUAGCUCAGGAGGCUGAGGCAAGAGGAUAGCAAGAUCAAAGCCAGCCUCUGCAACUUAGGGAGGCCCUGAGCAACUUAGCAAGACCCUGUCUCAAAAUAAAAAAUAAAAAGGCCUGGGAUGUGGCUCAUUGGUUAAGGGCCCCUGGGUUCAAUCUCUGGUGAGAUAUUUAUGUGUUUUUUUUCAAGGACUCAGUUUAUACCAAGUGCUAUUUUGAGCACUGUUCUUAGUUGAUGCCAUCCAUCCUUCUAUUUGUCUAAAUUUCUCCUCAACUCUCUACAUAUGUCAAGCAUGCCGAAUGGUAUAUUAUCCCCACUUCACAGAUGAGAAGAUUGAGGCACAGAGCGGCAAAGGAUUUAUAGCUGCUAAAUAUUUGGAGUUGGGUUUGAACCUGAUAGGAAAAAAAAAAAAAAACUGGCCUUUUACCCAUUGAUGCUCUCUCUUUUCUUCUCAGAUUGGGUGCAGAAAGCCACACCAUGGGACAUCGUGAACCAGCAGGAAGGAAAGUCUGGAGGAGCCCAGUAAAGAUAGCACUGGACCAGGGUGGUGUGGCCAGGUCGAACCCAAACCUUAUGCUCCAAGGAGAGGCAAGCACAGGGUGAUUACAUAAAGUCCCUUCCGAAUAAUUGCAGCUAUUAUUUGCUGAGCUCCUUUUUGGGCCCCACCCUGAGUUACAGAUGCUGUAUCUUUCCAAGAAUUUUUGAGGCAGGCACUGCUCUAGCCAUUCUAGACACAGGACACGGAGGCUACAGGAAGGGCAGGCACUCGCCCAAGGUCACAGUGCCCAGGAGUGGCAGGACAAGAUUCAAACGCCAGCUGGUCAGUUCCCUGAGCCACAAAACCUCCUCUGCUCUUUCUCCUUCUAACUAUUAAGUCAUAAAAGGAUAUUUUUUUUCAUAAAUAAAAAUAAUUUAAAAAGUGAGGUCUCCCCUAAGAAAGUUGGUUCACUUUAAAAUAAAUGUCAGCCAAGAGCGUUUACUCUGAGAAAAAUUAAAAUCC